rnacentral:rRNA from 1 species
AUGAACGCUGGCGGCGUGCCUAAUACAUGCAAGUCGAGCGAACAGACGAGGAGCUUGCUCCUCUGACGUUAGCGGCGGCCGGGUGAGUAACACGUGGAUAACCUACCUAUAAGACUGGGAUAACUCCGGGAAACCGGAGCUAAUACCGGAAAAUAUAUUGAACCGCAUGGUUCAAUAGUGAAAGACGGUUUUGCUGUCACUUAUAGAUGGAUCCGCGCCGCAUUAGCUAGUUGGUAAGGUAACGGCUUACCAAGGCAACGAUGCGUAGCCGACCUGAGAGGGGGAUCGGCCACACGGGAACUGAGACACGGUCCAGACUCCUACGAGAGGCAGCAGUAGGGAAUCUUCCGCAAUGGGCGAAAGCCUGACGGAGCAACGCCGCGUGAGUGAUGAAGGUCUUCGGAUCGUAAAGCUCUGUUAUUAGGGAAGAACAAAUGUGUAAGUAACUAUGCACGUCUUGACGGUACCUAAUCAGAAAGCCACGGCUAACUACGUG